rnacentral:rRNA from 1 species
CCGAAAGGCAGGAGUGCCUGCAAGGGAGCGCGGAGACAGGUGGUGCAUGGCUGUCGUCAGCUCGUGUCGUGAGAUGUUGGGUUAAGUCCCGCAACGAGCGCAACCCUCACCUCUUGUUGCCAUCAGGUCAUGCUGGGCACUCUAGAGGAACUGCCCCGGUCAACGGGGAGGAAGGCGGGGAUGACGCCAAGUCAUCAUGCCCCUUACGUCCUGGGGUACACACGUGCUACAAUGGCCGGUACAAAGGGAUGCCACACCGCGAGGUAAAGCUAAACCCAAAAGGCCGGUCUAAUUUCGGAUUGGAGUCUGCAACUCGACUCCCUGAAGGACGAAUCGCUAGUAAUCGCGUAUCACCACGACGCGGUGAAUACGUUCCCGGGCCUUGUACACACCGACCGUCACGCCACGAAAGCCAG